CAGAGUCAGGCACGACUGAAGCGACUUAGCAGCAGCAGCAGCAGCAGCAGCAGACCUGAUGUCCGAAUGAAGUCUCACCAGGACCGCCUUCUGAAAUGGAACUUCCAGAAACAGCAGACAGACUGCUGAUCAGCCAUCCCA